AGUGUCACUAGUGGUGACACUGGAGUGUCACUAGUGUGACACUGAAGUGUCACUAGUGUGACACUGGAGUGUCACUAGUGUGACACUGGAGUGUCACUAGUGUGACACUGAAGUGUCACUAGUGUGACACU